rnacentral:rRNA from 1 species
GUGAUAGCAGCCGCGGUAAUACAGAGGGUGCAAGCGUUGUUCGGAAUUAUUGGGCGUAAAGGGAGUGUAGGCUGUUUUCUAAGUCUUCUGUGAAAUCUACGGGCUUAGCCUGUAACGUGCAGAGGAAACUGGGAGACUUGAGUGUCGGAGAGGAUAGGGGAAUACCCGGUGUAGAGGUGAAAUUCGUAGAGAUCGGGUGGAACACCAGUGGCGAAGGCGCCUAUCUGGCUGACAACUGACGCUGAGACUCGAAAGCAUGGGGAGCAAACGGGAUUAGAUACCCCAGUAGUCC